GCCAGCGUGGUGUAGUGGUUUGAGAGUUGGACUAGGACUCUGGAGACCAGGGUUCGAAUCCCAGCUCAGCCA